rnacentral:rRNA from 1 species
UAGAGUUUGAUCAUGGCUCAGAUUGAACGCUGGCGGUAUGCUUAACACAUGCAAGUCGAACGGAAACGAUACUAGCUUGCUAGUAGGCGUCGAGUGGCGGACGGGUGAGUAACGCGUAGGAAUCUACCAGAUAGUGGGGGAUAGCCCGGAGAAAUUCGGAUUAAUACCGCAUAAUCUCUACGGAGUAAAGGAGGCCUCUAUUUAUAUGCUUUCGCUAUCUGAUGAGCCUGCGUAAGAUUAGCUAGUUGGUGAGGUAAAAGCUCACCAAGGCAACGAUCUUUAGCUGGUCUGAGAGGAUGAUCAGCCACACUGGGACUGAGACACGGCCCAGACUCCUACGGGAGGCAGCAGUGGGGAAUAUUGGACAAUGGGGGCAACCCUGAUCCAGCAAUACCGCGUGUGUGAAGAAGGCCUGAGGGUUGUAAAGCACUUUCAAUUGUGAAGAAAAGUUAAUAGUUAAUAACUA